GAUGAACGCUGGCGGCGUGCCUAAUACAUGCGAGUCGAGCGAACAGACGAUGAUCUUGCUCCUCUGACGUUAUCGGCUGAUGGGUGAGUAACACGUGGUUAACCUACCUAUAAGACUUUGAUAACUUCGGGAAACCGCAGCUAAUACCGGAUAACAUCUUGAACCUCAUGGUUCAACAGUUAAAUACGGUUUUACUGUCACUUAGAGAUAGAUCCUCGUCGCAUUAGCUAGUUGGUAAUGUAACGGCUUACCAAGGCAACGAUGCGUAGCCGAGCUGAGAGGGUGAUCGGCCACACUGGAACUGCGACACGGUCCAGACGCCUACGGGAGGCAGCAGUAGGGAAUCUUCCGUAAUGGGCGAAAGCCUGACGGAGAAACGCCGCGUGAGUGAAGAAGGUCUUCGGAUCGUAAAACUCUGUUAUUAGGGAAGAACAAAUGUGUAAGUAACUAUGCACGUCUUGACGGUACCUAAUCAGAAAGCCACGGCUAACUACGUG
rnacentral:rRNA from 1 species